rnacentral:rRNA from 1 species
AUGUCCAGCAGUAGCUCCGCCGUGCCUCGGUCGGCGAGCGGGAGAAGACCGCCUCUGCCGUACGUCGGGAACCCGCUGGACAACGAGCCAGCCGUUUUCUGCAGUUGCGGCGCCAAGGCAGCACGGCUGACCUCAUGGACAGACGCCAACCCGGGCCGUAGGUACCUGUCUUGCAAACGCGCGGAGUGGCUUGAUCCCAGGCCGAGCCCAUACAUGCGAGAGCUGUUGGUGGAUCUUCGUGACAGGAUUCUUCAGCUGGAGGAUGAGAACGACGAACUCCGCAGUUCCGGUUUACGAUACAUUGGUUCUGUCCAAGGACAUGAUUUGUGGGGGCGUACCCGUCUAGGGACUGCUGUGCUUUGGGUGUUGCUCUUUGCCCUGGCUGUGGUUAUCUUCCGUCUGACGAGAACAGAUAUGUUUCAUGCAAAGAUAGUGCAGCCAAAACGCCAUAGCGCGCAGAACCAAGAUCUUCCUCUCCUCGAUGAACGAUCCGUCCGCAGAUCAAUGGUCCAAACGGGUCAUGAAUUUCCAAUGCCACCGAUGCGUGAGUCCGCGUGCCCCGUUUUCAUGGGGCGUAAUUAA